rnacentral:rRNA from 1 species
ACUCAAAUGAAUUGACGGGGACCCGCACAAGCGGUGGAGUAUGUGGCUUAAUUCGAUGCAACGCGAAGAACCUUACCAAGGCUUGACAUGGAUUUCUAAGCACGUGAAAGCGUGUGACCCUUCGGGGGACUUCCACAGGUGCUGCAUGGCCGUCGUCAGCUCGUGUCGUGAGAUGUUGGGUUAAGUCCCGCAACGAGCGCAACCCCUGUGAACUGUUGCCAGCGCGUAAAGGCGGGGACUCUGUUCAGACUGCCCAGAUCAACUGGGAGGAAGGUGGGGACGACGUCAGGUCAGUAUGGCCCUUACGCCUUGGGCUGCACACGUACUACAAUGCCCAGUACAAUGAGAACCGAGACCGCGAGGUGGAGGAAAUCUACAAAACUGGGCCCAGUUCGGAUUGGAGGCUGCAACUCGCCUCCAUGAAGCCGGAAUCGCUAGUAAUGCUGCAUCAGCUACGGCAGCGUGAAUACGUUCCCGGGUCUUGUACACACCGCCCGU